rnacentral:rRNA from 1 species
AGUGAACGCUGGCGGUAUGCCUAACACAUGCAAGUCGAACGGCAGCACAGUAAGAGCUUGCUCUUACGGGUGGCGAGUGGCGGACGGGUGAGGAAUACAUCGGAAUCUACUUUUUCGUGGGGGAUAACGUAGGGAAACUCACGCUAAUACCGCAUACGUCCUACGGGUGAAAGCAGGGGAUCUUCGGACCUUUCGCGAUUGAAUGAGCCGAUGUCGGAUUAGCUAGUUGGCGGGGUAAAGGCCCACCAAGGCGACGAUCCGUAGCUGGUCUGAGAGGAUGAUCCGCCACACUGGAACUGAGACACGGUCCAGACUCCUACGGGAGGCAGCAGUGGGGAAUAUUGGACAAUGGGCGAAAGCCUGAUCCAGCCAUACCGCGUGGGUGAAGAAGGCCUUCGGGUUGUAAAGCCCUUUUGUUGGGAAAGAAAAGCAGCAGGUUAAUACCCCGCUGUUCUGACGGUACCCAAAGAAUAAGCACCGGCUAACUUCGUG